UGAUGAGCAGCCUCUAGGUACUGUUCCCGCGACCUCCCUGUCAUCGUGGACCAUACCCACAAACUAUGAGCGAGCAUAACCCAUCCCUGGGAGAGUGUGCCGUAUGAACACUGAGACCAGGAGAGUGUGCUGUAUGAACACUGAGACCACAUGAAUACAUGCUGCUCCUUUUAGGUCCAGUCCUUUCCUUCCGAAAGGAGGGGAAAGGCAGAGUGAUGACCUACAGCCUCAGUCACGGGUCACAAGUCAUCGAUCAGCUGUAGCAGGCUGUGAAGGGACAAAGGGAAUGCCUGUCUGAAGGGGCCGUGUUCUGCUCCCCGUUCCAGCCUUGGCUUUCAAUUUCUAGGAUGCAGACUCUCCCUCCCUCUCUCCUUCUCCCUCUCCCUC